GAGUAACACGUAGGCAACCUGCCCUCAAGACUGGGAUAACUACCGGAAACGGUAGCUAAUACCGGAUAAUUUAUUUCACAGCAUUGUGGAAUAAUGAAAGACGGAGCAAUCUGUCACUUGGGGAUGGGCCUGCGGCGCAUUAGCUAGUUGGUGGGGUAAUGGCUCACCAAGGCGACGAUGCGUAGCCGACCUGAGAGGGUGAACGGCCACACUGGGACUGAGACACGGCCCAGACUCCUACGGGAGGCAGCAGUAGGGAAUCUUCCGCAAUGGGCGAAAGCCUGACGGAGCAACGCCGCGUGAGUGAUGAAGGUUUUCGGAUCGUAAAGCUCUGUUGCCAAGGAAGAACGUCUUCUAGAGUAACUGCUAGAAGAGUGACGGUACUUGAGAAGAAAGCCCCGGCUAACUACGUGCCAGCAGCCGCGGUAAUACGUAGGGGGCAAGCGUUGUCCGGAAUUAUUGGGCGUAAAGCGCGCGCAGGCGGUUCUUUAAGUCUGGUGUUUAAACCCGAGGCUCAACU
rnacentral:rRNA from 1 species